rnacentral:lncRNA from 1 species
AAAAAACUGUUUACAAUACUUUGAAUUGUUAAAAUAAAACUAAGGAGUUUCUACCUCCGGCAACCUUAGGUUAUAUUUUGCAAAAUCUUUCGGAAUUUUACAAUCCUUCAAUGCUCUUCAACUUUGUGCUUCAUUUUGACUUAUGGUUUUCCGAUGAGAGCAUCACUGAUGAGUCUUUUGUAGACGAAUUGCUGGCUUCUUGAUGCGGUUUACAGAAUAAACAAUAUUGAGCAAAAUGAGUAGAACAAAAGCCAGAAGACAAAAAAAAGGAGAAAAUUAGGCCCAAAAAAAAAUAAAGAAUAGAGAAUAAUGGGGUUCUGAAA